AAAAAGAGGAGUGGCGAACGGGUGAGUAACACGUGGGUAACCUGCCCAUCAGAAGGGGAUAACACUUGGAAACAGGUGCUAAUACCGUAUAACAAUCGAAACCGCAUGGUUUUGAUUUGAAAGGCGCUUUCGGGUGUCGCUGAUGGAUGGACCCGCGGUGCAUUAGCUAGUUGGUGAGGUAACGGCUCACCAAGGCCACGAUGCAUAGCCGACCUGAGAGGGUGAUCGGCCACAUUGGGACUGAGACACGGCCCAAACUCCUACGGGAGGCAGCAGUAGGGAAUCUUCGGCAAUGGACGAAAGUCUGACCGAGCAACGCCGCGUGAGUGAAGAAGGUUUUCGGAUCGUAAAACUCUGUUGUUAGAGAAGAACAAGGAUGAGAGUAACUGUUCAUCCCUUGACGGUAUCUAACCAGAAAGCCACGGCUAACUACGUGCCAGCAGCCGCGGUAAUACGUAGGUGGCAAGCGUUGUCCGGAUUUAUUGGGCGUAAAGCGAGCGCAGGCGGUUUCUUAAGUCUGAUGUGAAAGCCCCCGGCUCAACCGGGGAGGGUCAUUGGAAACUGGGAGACUUGAGUGCAGAAGAGGAGAGUGGAAUUCCAUGUGUAGCGGUGAAAUGCGUAGAUAUAUGGAGGAACACCAGUGGCGAAGGCGGCUCUCUGGUCUGUAACUGACGCUGAGGCUCGAAAGCGUGGGGAGCAAACAGGAUUAGAUACCCUGGUAGUCCACGCCGUAAACGAUGAGUGCUAAGUGUUGGAGGGUUUCCGCCCUUCAGUGCUGCAGCUAACGCAUUAAGCACUCCGCCUGGGGAGUACGACCGCAAGGUUGAAACUCAAAGGAAUUGACGGGGGGCCCGCACAAGCGGUGGAGCAUGUGGUUUAAUUCGAAGCAACGCGAAAGAACCUUACCAGGUCUUGGACAG
rnacentral:rRNA from 1 species